rnacentral:rRNA from 1 species
AAUUUUUCCCAAUGGGGGAAACCCUGAAGGAGCGACGCCGCGUGGAGGAUGAAGGUUUUCGGAUCGUAAACUCCUGUCAUUAGGGAACAAUGCAGAGAGGGGUAACUCCCCUUUUGUUGAUAGUACCUGAAGAGGAAGGGACGGCUAACUCUGUGCCAGCAGCCGCGGUAAUACAGAGGUCCCAAGCGUUGUUCGGAUUCAUUGGGCGUAAAGGGUGCGUAGGCGGUAAGGUAAGUUGGAUGUGAAAUCCUGGGGCUCAACCUCAGAACUGCAUUCAAUACUGCUUUGCUAGAGUACUGGAGAGGAGAUUGGAAUUCACGGUGUAGCAGUGAAAUGCGUAGAUAUCGUGAGGAAGACCAGCGGCGAAGGCGAAUCUCUGGACAGUUACUGACGCUGAGGCACGAAGGCCAGGGGAGCGAACG